GAUGAACGCUGGCGGCGUGCCUAAUACAUGCAAGUCGAGCGAACGGACGAGAAGCUUGCUUCUCUGAUGUUAGCGGCGGACGGGUGAGUAACACGUGGAUAACCUACCUAUAAGACUGGGAUAACUUCGGGAAACCGUAGCUAAUACCGGAUAAUAUUUUGAACCGCAUGGUUCAAAAGUGAAAGACGGUCUUGCUGUCACUUAUAGAUGGAUCCGCGCUGCAUUAGCUAGUUGGUAAGGUAACGGCUUACCAAGGCAACGAUGCAUAGCCGACCUGAGAGGGUGAUCGGCCACACUGGAGCUGAGACACGGUCCAGACUCCUACGGGAGGCAGCAGUAGGGAAUCUUCCGCAAUGGGCGAAAGCCUGACGGAGCAACGCCGCGUGAGUGAUGAAGGUCUUCGGAUCGUAAAACUCUGUUAUUAGGGAAGAACAUAUGUGUAAGUAACUGUGCACAUCUUGACAGUACCUAAUCAGAAAGCCACGGCUAACUACGUG
rnacentral:rRNA from 1 species